rnacentral:ncRNA from 1 species
AGCCGUUAUCACGAAUCUCAUUAUGAGAUAGCAACCUGCAAAACGAGCAAGGUGCUAAAACGAUAAGCCAAAUCCUUUGGAAAAAUUGUUGUUUCA